UACGAAGGGGGCUAGCGUUGCUCGGAAUUACUGGGCGUAAAGCGCACGUAGGCGGCUCUUUAAGUCGGGGGUGAAAUCCUGGAGCUCAACUCCAGAACUGCCUUCGAUACUGUAGAGCUUGAGUUCGGGAGAGGUGAGUGGAACUGCGAGUGUAGAGGUGAAAUUCGUAGAUAUUAGGAAGAACACCAGUGGCGAAGGCGGCUCACUGGCCCGGUACUGACGCUGAGGCGCGAAAGCGUGGGGAGCAAACAGG
rnacentral:rRNA from 1 species